ACACCUCAUAAAAACCCUCUUUAGUUGAACAGAGAGGAUGGAAACAGUGUGGAAGGUGUUACCAUCCCAGAGUCUGCAAGACAGAUUGUGAAAAGUGUACAGCAGUCCCAUGGAGAACUGAUGAGAAAUUAAAACAAAUCCAACCAACUCAGAGAAUACCGCUGAGAGAAUGGUCAAUAAAAAGAUAUUACAAAUGCUGGUCAUAAACAAACAACAUCUCAAACAAAACCAAUUUACUGACAACUGGAUCAAGUCAUUUCUUCAUCCCUGGACACUGAAAACCUGCAUAGGAUACUUUCUUGCUUACUCAUUUGUUGUCUGAGGGUGGAAACUGAACUC